rnacentral:rRNA from 1 species
CCUACGGGUGGCAGCAGUGGGGAAUAUUGCACAAUGGGGGAAACCCUGAUGCAGCGACGCCGCGUGAGUGAAGAAGUAUUUCGGUAUGUAAAGCUCUAUCAGCAGGGAAGAAGCAAGACGGUACCUGACUAAGAAGCCCCGGCUAACUACGUGCCAGCAGCCGCGGUAAUACGUAGGGGGCAAGCGGUAUCCGGAUUUACUGGGUGUAAAGGGAGCGUAGAGGGUGUGGCUAGUCUGAAGUGAAAGCCCAGGGCUUAAACCAUGGACUGCUUUGGAAACUGGUUGACUGGAGAGGUCGAGAGGUAAGUGGAAUGCGUAGUGUAGCGGGGAAAUGAGUAGAUAUUGGGAAGAACACCAGUGGCGAAGGCAGCAUACUGGAGACUAUCUGACGUUGAGGCACGAAAGCGUGGGGAGCAAACAGGAUUAGAUACCCGGGUAGUC